ACGAUCAAGUGCCUUAAGAGCAUUCGGUGGAUGCCUUGGCGCUGAGAGGCGAUGAAGGACGUGAUACGCUGCGAUAAGCCGUGGGGAGCUGCGAAUGAGCUUUGAUCCGCGGAUUUCCGAAUGGGGAAACCCACCUUCGAUCUCUGUUAUUCCAAGGACAGGCUCCGGCUCGGACUAACAGAGAUCACAAGAAGGUAUUGAACUCUGAAUACAUAGGGGUUCAAAGCUAACCCAGGGAACUGAAACAUCUAAGUACCUGGAGGAAAGGACAUCAACGAGACUCCGUUAGUAGUGGCGAGCGAACGCGGACCAGGCCAGUGCUCGAUUGUGCGUUACCGGAAGUGGUUGGGAAACCACGCAUCAAUGGGUGAUAGCCCCGUACGGAUCUGCAAUCAGUCGAGACAUGAGUAAGGCGGGACACGUGAAAUCCUGUCUGAACGUGGGGGGACCACCCUCCAAGCCUAAGUACUCCUCAGCGACCGAUAGUGAACAAGUACCGUGAGGGAAAGGUGAAAAGCACCCCGACGAGGGGAGUGAAACAGCACCUGAAACCGAAUGCUUACAAACAGUGGGAGCUCAAGGUUCGUCCUGGGUGACCGCGUACCUUUUGUAUAAUGGGUCAGCGACUUAGUCUGACGAGCAAGCUUAAGCCGCUAGGCGUAGGCGCAGCGAAAGCGAGUCUGAACAGGGCGUUCAGUUCGUCGGAUUAGACCCGAAACCGGGUGAUCUAGCCAUGAGCAGGUUGAAGGUAAGGUAACACUUACUGGAGGACCGAACCGGUGCCUGUUGAAAAAGUCUCGGAUGACUUGUGGCUAGGGGUGAAAGGCCAAUCAAACUCGGAAAUAGCUGGUUCUCCGCGAAAGCUAUUUAGGUAGCGCCUCGCGUGAAUACUCUCGGGGGUAGAGCACUGGAUGGGUGCGGGGUACUUACCGUAUUACCAAACCUAACCAAACUCCGAAUACCGAGAAGUACUGCGCGGGAGACACACGGCGGGUGCUAACGUCCGUCGUGGAGAGGGAAACAACCCUGACUUACAGCUAAGGCCCCCAAUUCGUGGCUAAGUGUGAAAGGAUGUGGGAAUCCCAAAACAACCAGGAGGUUGGCUUAGAAGCAGCCAUCCUUUAAAGA
rnacentral:rRNA from 1 species